ACAUACUUCAGAGCCCAAUUCAUUAUAUUUUAAUAAAUACAAUUACUACCAAAUCCUAAUUAAAUAAAAUUUACAAAUUUAAAUAUAUAAAUGUAACCCAUCUCUUCUUCUAAAUGCUGCACCUUGAUUUGAUCUAUAAUAAAAUUCUAUAUAAAGAAAAUUUUAUUUCUCAUGAAAUUUUCAUUACAACAACGAUAUACAAGCAAUAAUAAAAGUAAAAUAAAUUGUGGACUAUCAAUUACAGGACAGGUUCCUCUGGUAGGUUAAAGUACCGCCAAGAUAUUUAAUUUUCAAGCACUUAUCUAAUACUAAUCCAGUAUUUAAAUUUACAAUUUCAAUAACAGGGUAUCUAAUCCUGGUUUAUAAUUAAAAUUUUCCUAGAUCAUUUAAUUAAAAUUUUAAUUUUUAUUAAAAUUUCACUUCUCAAUAAAUAUUUAUAAACAACAAAUUAAUUAACUAAUACCAUAAAAAUUAAGUUACCCCUUUUGUAUAACCGCA
rnacentral:rRNA from 1 species